rnacentral:rRNA from 1 species
CUUAUGAUUAUAAUUUAAGGUCUAACCUGCCCACUGAGUAAUUGAAGGGCCGCGGUAUUUUGACCGUGCAAAGGUNGCAUAAUCAUUAGUUUUUUAAUUGAAAGCUGGAAUGAAAGGUUGGAUGAGGAAAUHUCUGUCUCUAUUUAAUCAAUAGAAUUUUAUUUUUAAGUVAAAAAGCUUAAAUUUUCUUAAAAGACGAGAAGACCCKAUAGAGUUUUAUAAGUUAAUAGUUUUAAAUUAUUUGGGAUUUCUUAUUUUAAGUUAUUAAUUUAUUUGGUUGGGGUGACUAAAAAAUUUAAUUAACUUUUAUAUAUUUUAUACACUUAUUUGUGAUUAUUUGAUCCAUUUUUUAUGAUUAAUAGAUAAAAUUACCUUAGGGAUAACAGCGUAAUUUUUCUUGAGAGUGCAAAUCGAAAGGRAAGUUUGCGACCUCGAUGUUGGAUUAAAAUAAACUUUUGGUGUAGCAGCKAGA